CGGGCUCGGAGAAGGGGGAGGGGACGUGGGGCGGAGCCGAGCGCUAGACCACCCCUCCCCAUGCCCCGCCCCAGCAGGUGUAGGAAGAAGAACCCAGAGGGGCUAGGGAAGGUAGCCUGGCCCCCAAGGAACCUUAUUCAAGGAAGGAACCCCGACAAGUGUCCACCGUUCGCCCUCAGACGGAACCUACGAGGCCAGUGCUCCGCAGGGACCUCGGGCUCCACAUACACCCCUUUGACACCCUUUCCUCCCUCACGCACACACUUGCUCCUCCGAACAUCUAGAGGGAUUCCAUUCUCGCUUCCAGGCACACAGAAGCUUAUAAAUUCUCGGCAUACAUGCGCUUACGGGAUGUAGCGGAACAUGUAUAGGGCAACGCACAGAUGGAGCAUUCACCUGUGCACAGGCAGGACCAUCCAUCCGGAUCAGAACACGGAGCAGGAAUCCUGGGAUUCAAGGUUCCAAUGAUCAGUUUGUAUUUAUGGAACUUACCUGUGAAAAGCACAUUCCAAGAUUGGCAUGAAAUCUGACUUCACUCAGAGAGAUUCCGGACAUUAAGCCAUCCUGAUUGAUCUUCUCUGGCAAUGAAAAAGGAAACUGAGUCUCAGAGGAAGAAAGACUUGCCCAAUAUCACGUGGAAUCCCUGCCCACUGCUCUUUCCAUUACUCCCAGCUUCCUAUCUAUGGUCCUCUCCCCAUCUGCUGAAGCCCCAGCUUUCCUGGCCAUCCAGACUGCAGUUUCUACAGCCUCAGCUAAAGAAGAAUUCUCAGUGCUAUAGAUUUAGGGACGAAAUAUGUUCCCGGCAUCCCCAUGUAAAAUGACUCUCCCCCACUCCACACAAGUGUUAUUUAAAACAAAAUUGGGAGUCGA